GAUGAAGAACGUAGCGAAAUGCGAUAAGUAAUGCGAAUUGCAGAAUUUCCGUGAGUCAUCGAAUCUUUGAACGCACAUUGCGCCCACUGGUAUUCCGGUGGGCAUGCCUGUUCGAGCGUCAUUAUCCUCCCUCAAACCCCGGGUUUGGUGUUGGACCCAAGUUGUGUGAACAACUGGUCUCAAAGACAAUGACGGCGUCCGUGGGACCCUCGGUGCAACGAGCUUUUAGGAGCACGCAUCGAGUUGCAAGGACCUUCCGGGCCGGUCUCCUUUACCAUUUUACAAGGUUGACCUCGGAUCAGGUAGGUAUACCCGCUGAACUUAAGCAUAUCAAUAAGCGGAGGA
rnacentral:misc_RNA from 1 species